UGUAGGCGAUGCUUCUGGGGUUCCGAUUGGUGGCGUUGGCUUUGGAGGUCCUGUGGUUGUGGUUGUGGAUGGACUGGGUGGAGGGGCUGUAGUUCUCCCUGUUGUAGGCGAUGCUUCUGGGGUUCCGAUUGGUGGCGUUGGCUUUGGAGGUCCUGUGGUUGUG